GCGCUGACAGCAGAGCUUGUGUUCUGGUUCUGCAGUGAGGGGCGGCUGACAGCGUCCGGUAAUCUCUGAGAGAUUUACCGCAGACGAAGCAUGAAGUUGUUUCGAGCCGUUUAUUCCCGCUUCAGGUGCUUCGCUGCUGCGCGCACUGAUUUUCUGAGAGAUUUACAUCAGACGAAGGUUAGUAUAAAAACAUAAAACCAUUUAAAUUCUGCACAUUCUGCUCAUCUGAUUUCAGAGUCUCCCAACACUGCAGCUGACUCCUGAUUCACCGGAGACAGCCUUGGAGGAGAAAUGGUCAAAUAUCAAAUGUUGCCAUUCUUUUGGAAAACUGCUGGUCUUUAAAGAACAGUCAUUAAUCAGGUAACUUGAACACAGUUUUUGAAUACUUUUCAGUUACUUAAGUUAUCUUUUAUCCAGUUACUAAAUCACUUUGACUAUUUUUUCCAAUUAUUAAUGAAGUUUAUUUUAACAAAGUUCAGGAGAAACAUUUUCAGGUAAUCCAACCAAUUAGCAUCAGAGGAAGUCUGUAUAUCACCGCUUUUCUCACCUCCAUUCCCAGACGACAGCAGGGCAAAUAUACUUAUUCUGUCUAUUAUAUAUACAUAUGUGACCUUGUGAACUGCUGUAUAGUUCAGCUAAAGUAACCGACUGUUUUCAUUACAUUUGUAUUAUCAUGUUGUUUCAUCAUUCUAACGUGUUUAAACAAUGAAAACUGUACAAUGUAUUUAUAGAAAGUGUGUUUUAUUAUAUUUUUACUGGAUCCUCUAUUCCCAGACCCAACCAUUCAUCUGAAGGACUGUAAAAAUAUGAACCCUUUGAACCACCGGUGACAGUUUCCACAUGAUAAAUAGAAAGGACAUGGCAGAGGAUGAAAGGGGUAUUGAUAUUUCACUGAAAUUAAAUAUCAUUUAAUUACAUUUAGUCUGCUAGUCAGAAUUAUAGCUGAUUAAAUAAAAAUAAAUAGUGGUUCAUAUUUGAUUUGGGAUAGUGGUUCAUGAGUCCUUUGUCCUGAACAGUUUAAAUGGCCGCUUUUCUUCAGAAAAAUCCUCCAGAUCCUUCACUUUCUCAGGUUUUCCAGCAUCUUUUGCAUAUUUGAACCCUUUCCAGCAAUGAAUGAAUGAUUUCAGAUCUCUUUUUUUACACUGAGGACAACUGAGGGACUCAUACACAACUAUUUCAAAAGGUAAAUGCAUUUAUUGAUUUUCAAGAAAGCAACACAAUUUAUUAAGAGAGACAGGGUGUGAACUACUUGAAUUGGAUGAUCAGGGAAAACUACUAUUUUUUUCUGAAAAUCAGUAUUAAAAAAGUAACUGUCCUGCAGAGUCUAGCUCCAACCCUAAUUAAACAGACCUGAAGCUAAUUAAGGUCUUCAGGAUUACUGGAAGGCCACAGGCAGGUGAGUUUGAUCAGGGUUGGAGCAGAACUCUGCAGGGCAGUGGCCCUCCAGGACCGAGUUUGCUCAUCUCUGUGCUGGGGGUAUGUAAACUUAUGAACAUAUCAGUAACUUCUGGAGCUUCUGAAAGGCAGAAUUAAAAAAAAACAUGGCAUGGUCCUGAUGGUGCCAUUAGAGUUGUAGAAUAUGUGUGUGUGUCUGUCUGAUUGAGAGAGCAGUAAUCACUGUCCUGACUUUGCAGUGUCCAUUGCAAGUGUAUUCUUUAUUGUGUUUGUCUUUUGAUUAGUAUACAUUUUUUGUUUCUUUUUCAAAAA
ensembl:lncRNA